rnacentral:rRNA from 1 species
CAGCCGCCGCGGGAAUACGGAGGGAGCUAGCGUUGUUCGGAAUUACUGGGCGUAAAGGGCUCGCAGGCGGUUUCUUAAGUCUGAUGUGGAAGCCCCCGGCUCAACCGGGGAGGGUCAUUGGAAACUGGGAAACUUGAGUGCAGAAGAGGAGAGUGGAAUUCCACGUGUAGCGGUGAAAUGCGUAGAGAUGUGGAGGAACACCAGUGGCGAAGGCGACUCUCUGGUCUGUAACUGACGCUGAGGAGCGAAAGCGUGGGGAGCGAACAGGAUUAGAUACCCCGGUAGUCCCUGUCUCUUAUAC